GAUGAACGCUGGCGGCGUGCCUAAUACAUGCAAGUCGAGCGAACAGAUGAGGAGCUUGCUCCUCUGACGUUAGCGGCGGACGGGUGAGUAACACGUGGAUAACCUACCUAUAAGACUGGGAUAACUUCGGGAAACCGGAGCUAAUACCGGAUAAUAUAUUGAACCGCAUGGUUCAAUAGUGAAAGACGGUUUUGCUGUCACUUAUAGAUGGAUCCGCGCCGCAUUAGCUAGUUGGUAAGGUAACGGCUUACCAAGGCAACGAUGCGUAGCCGACCUGAGAGGGGGAUCGGCCACACUGGAACUGAGAAACGGUCCAGAUCCCUACGGGAGGCAGCAGGGGGGAAACUUCCGCAAUGGGCGAAAGCCUGACGGAGCAACGCCGCGGGGGGGAUGAAGUUCUUCGGUUGGUAAAACUCUGUUAUUAGGGAAGAACAAAGGUGUAAGUAACUAUGCACGUCUUGACGGUACCAAAGAAGAAAGCCACGGCAAACUACGU
rnacentral:rRNA from 1 species